GAUUUCUGACGAACCGGAGUGGCCCGUUUCCUUUCAGGGAAUGAGUGCCGCUUUGAGUUUGUCAUCCUUCCAGAGAGCUGCGUCUACCGUUUAUUCGGCCGGACGUAUGCGAUCUGGAUCUAUUACUUUGAAAAAAUUAGAGUGUUUAAAGCAGGCUUACGCUGUGAAUACAUUAGCAUGGAAUAAUAAUCUAGGACUUUGGUUCUAUUUUGUUGGUUUCGAGAGCUGAAGUAAUGAUUGAUAGGGAUAGUUGGGGGUGCUAGUAUUCAGAGGCCAGAGGUGAAAUUCUUGGAUUCUCUGAAGACUAACUUAUGCGAAAGCAUU
rnacentral:rRNA from 1 species